rnacentral:rRNA from 1 species
AGAUUAAGCCAUGCAUGUUUCCGCAAUCAGGGACGAAUAGCUCAGUAAAACUGCGAUGAUUUAGUCUGGCUGUGUAGAUAACUACGUGAAAAUGUAGCUAAGGGAAGGCAGAAUAAGACGCAGGACUAUCAGUUAGUUGGUAGUGUAAUGGACUACCAAGACAGUGACGGUUGACGGGAAAUUAGGGUUUUGUACCGGAGAGGGAGCCUGAGAGAUUGCUCCCACGUCCAAGGACGGCAGCAGGCGCGAAAAUUGCCCACUCUUUGCAGGAGGCAGUUAUGAGACGUGAAGAUGAGUAUCUUGUAAAGAGGGAUAGGAGAAUUGGAGGGCAAGUUUGGUGCCAGCAGCCGCGGUAAUACCGACUCCAAGAGUGUGUAUGAGAGAUGCUGCAGUUAAAAAGUCCGUAGUCAUAGAAGGGCAAAGAGAGAUGCGAGGUCUCACAGUGCGAUGAUGGAGGAGCCGAUGGGGAACAUAGUAUACCAGGGCGA